AGACAAGCAUCAUGUUUUCCUCCACGAGCCCAUUCUGCUCGUCCUAGCACCAUGCCAAGCCUACUCAACUCUCCAACACAUGCGUACAUGGGAGACAGCACAGAGACCCUGCAACUGCCUCCUAGCUUCCCUUGCUAUCUCAUGUAUUUGUGCAUGAUCCUGAACACACCAGCACAAAGGCACGAUGAGGCCAGCCUGCUCCCUCCCCAGGCAGAGAGAAGCUGGGAGGAGGAGGGACUGGACAGAAGAGCUUCCACCAACCUCAGCUGGCAGCAAUCACAAUUUGGCCAAAUCCAAUUAACCCACCUGCAACCCUGCUUUCUGGCAGACUGGUGACUCCAGACUGGAAGGGCUUUACAGUCUGUCCCUGCAGCCUUGACACAGUGCCAUGCUGCCCGACGCCUGCUUUGUCUCCUGGAGACAAGAAGCCUGCCUUUGGUCCAGAUUCAUGCAGUUCUACCACCCUUCAAUGUAUGUUUCCUUAGGGAUAAGAAAAUAAAACCCAGAACAUGCAGACUCUUUCUUGCCCAAAUGAAUUCACCAUUUUUUUCUGGACAUUUCUGGACCUAAAUACAUGGUAUUUCCCUUAGAAAUAAAUCUCCUCAUCCCAGGAAAAAAUAUGACAACAGAAAGCUAUUCGAUACUAUUUGUAUUUAGAACUCAACAGUUUCAAGACCAAUCUUCUUUAGUUAUUAAAGCAAGUCAGGAAGAUAGUGUGAGGAGGUUAAACUUACACUUCAAAUCCACUGCUUCUGCUAUUCAAGAGUUUUAAUACGGAUACUAUCCCAUAAACCUUUCAGCAUCAUAUUUAUGAGCAGAGGGACGCAUUUAUUUCUAUCCAUGGAAAAGAUGGAGUAGAUGACCAACACAUCACUGGUGAAAACUGCUAUGCAAUAAAAUAACCCACAGCCACCUGAAUUUAUAAAUUCUUCUAACAAAGUAACGUGUGCCAAGCCAAGCAAUUCUGAUGAAUUACAUUAGAAGCCUAUAGAUUUCACAGAAAUAACUUGCACAGAGCUGCAUCUGCGCAAAGACGUACGUGCAUUCAUGCUUCUGAAGGAAAAUAAAUUCUGACUUCUCACAUCCAGGUAUUUUCACUUGAGCAUAAACCUGUAAGAUUAUUAACUAUAAUAAAGCUCUAAAAUGGAUGCUAAAACCAUGUUUGAGGGCAGCAUCA